CCAACAUGGAUACCCUGGGAGAUCACUCUCCCUGGGCACUGUCCAGGUGGCGCAGAGGAGCACAGGGCUCUGUCCUGUGUUGUAAAAUCCCUUUCCACACUACUGGAGAUCAAACCAGGCCUUGAGUCUGCACCUGCAUAUUCCUGCAGCUUCUCAGAGACCUCUGAACAAUGACUGGGGAGACAAUGCAGGAAAACAGUU